rnacentral:sRNA from 1 species
UUUGUUAACCCUAAAAUACAGAUACAUAUAUCAGUUGUCUCAGUUGAACUUAAAAAAAUACAUUAAACUUGCAAGAAUUCAAUAAACUUGCACAUAUUCAAUACAAAUACGAAAACAUAAAAAAGAGUUGUCGAAGUUUAAAAUAGUACAUCAUACUUGCAAAUAAUAUAAUACAAAUACAAGUGAACUCAGUUGUAUUGGUUGAACCCUUUCUGCAGUUGGCCAGGUUGUUCCAGUUGAACCCUUUCUGUAGAAGACUUAAUCAAACUUCUUCAGGCUGCAGCCAAGCCUCCACUGUUUGUAACUCAAUUUCACCUUCCUUGAGGUUUCAUCUAUUCCAAUCUUCUUGCAUAUCUUUUCUACUAACAUAGAGUAUGUUACCUUUGACGUCCUCAACAAUACACCGCUUAAAGAAUUGUUUGAAAUCUACUCAUGCUCUUCUGAAUAAUACUCAUUGUCGAAUUGUAUGAAUGUGUGCUUGUUCUUCAUCGUCUCCUGUAACUACAAAUAAAUUAUUAAAACACAGUUACGUAAUCAUUCAGAUUUAGACAUAAUUCACUAAUACCGUUUGUACCACAUGUCCUAUUGUUUGUACCCCUUGUACUAUUAUGUCUCAUUGUUACCAUUUGUCCCAGUUCGUCAAUUCUGGGUUUUACAAAUCGUUAAUUUCGAUUGAACACUUACUGAACUCUCUGAUUCAAAACGAUACAACAGCCCAGAAUCAACAAUACAACAAUUUUAUGUUAUUAACAACUAACUCGAACAAAAAAUUCACAUUAAUCUACAAAUCAAAAGGAGAUCAGAUUUACUUUUGCUGGUGAGGAGGAAGCUAAUUUUGGGAGCAGAUUUUCAUCUUGGAAGCUACGAAGACCUCGAAAACUAACUCGUCGGUGAAAUCAGAGCUCAAGUCGCCGCCGAAAUCGGAGCUCAAGUCGCCGGCGAAAUCGGAGCUUUAGUGGUCGGAGGUCCGUAUAAACACGAUGCAGAAAUGAAAUGGAAUUAACUGUUUUCUUUUU